rnacentral:rRNA from 1 species
AUGGCGGCGCCGAGCUGGAUCCGGCUGCCGCGCGCCACCAUAAUCCUGCUCCUGCUCGCCAUCCACCUCUCCCUCUCCCUCGCCGCCCAGUUCGAGGGGUUCGACUCCGACGAACUGCCCUCCGCCGCCGCCGCCGGCGUCGCGUCCUCCGACGAUGACGACGAGGGCCUCGACAUCGACCUCCCGCCCCCUCCGCCCAUCACCGUCUCCGUCUCCGCUCCUUCCCCUCCCGUGACCACCACCACUGCCGCAAACCCUAACCUCACCCCCAACCCCACGGUCACGCCCCCGAAUCCCACUCCCUCGCUCGACUUCUGGGACGAGGACGAGUUCGAGGGCAUCCCCGUUCCAGAAGCGGCAGCCUCCGGCGACUCCUCCGCGCCGGCCGAGUCCGCCCCGUCAGAUCCCUCCGCCGAGGAAGCGGCCGAGGCGGCGCCGGCCACGCCAAGGGGCCCCGCGGAGCUCAUCCGCGCGUUCGCCGUCGAGAUCGCGUGCGUCAGCUUCCUGAUCUGCUUCGUGCUCAACUACUUCACUGGGAAGCGGCAGAACGAGGCGAUCGCGCUGGCCUGGGCCACCAAGUUCGCCACCAGAGACUCCAUCUUCGACAAGAACUUCAGCCUCCUUGGCACCGGCGACGGGAAGGAUACGCCACUCCUGCUCAAGGAAGGGCAGGACGUGUUCAAGUUCUACGCCAGCGGCAGGCGCUUCUGCCAGGGGGUGCUCGCCACCAUGGAGAUGCGUGCGCGGCACGACCUGCUGUCCAAGCUGCUGGAGCUGGUCUUCCCCAGGAAGGACACCAUCACGUUCGAGGUGGUGAUGAACGAGGAUGCCAUGGACCACGUGAUGGUUGCUGUGGCUAGGAAGAAGGCGGCCAAGGCGAUGCAGAAGGAAGAGAGAGAUCUGCAGAAGUUUGCCUCUGUUCUUGCUUCUGCACCCGCUGGGAAGAAGUGGAUUGCAGAUGAGCUUGCAGUGGUGGCCGAAUCAAAGGAGGUUGCUGGGGAUAUGAUCACUGAGGCUGUGCUAGAUCAGGUGCUUGGUGAGAAAGCAUUUGAGAAAAUGGGGAAGUGGUUCAUCUCACUUCAUUUUUCAGAUCAACUGGCAGGCUCUUACAAGAAAGUCCUCUCGUUCAAGUUUGUGCUGCCAGAUGCAAACAACAUGGCUGAUAUGACAAAAUUAGUUGCUCUUGUGCCAUUCUACAUUGAUUUGGUUGGACGCUACAAGCUGAGCUCACAUGCGCGCUCGAAAACUGAUGCUGCUAGGACAAAGGCUGCCCAGGAGGCCUUCAGGGAGCUUCAGGGUGUCAGGCAGGAAACCCUGCUGAGGAAAAAGGCCGAAAAGAAAAAACUCAUGGAAGAGGCAGAGGCCAAACUGAGCGCCGAGGUACUCCGGAAGAAAGAGGAGAAAGAGCGGAAUCGGCAGAUGAAGAAGGGGGCGCCCAAAGUUAAAAUGCUGCGCUCUUAG